CGAACGCUGGCGGCAGGCCUAACACAUGCAAGUCGAACGUGAAGCCGGACUUCGGUCUGGUGGAAAGUGGCGCACGGGUGAGUAACGCGUGGGGACCUACCCAUCGGUGGGGGAUAACUAUUGGAAACGAUAGCUAAUACCGCAUACGCCCUUCGGGGGAAAGAUUUAUUGCCGAUGGAUGGACCCGCGUCUGAUUAGCUAGUUGGUGAGGUAACGGCUCACCAAGGCGACGAUCAGUAGCUGGUUUGAGAGGAUGAUCAGCCACACUGGGACUGAGACACGGCCCAG
rnacentral:rRNA from 1 species